GAUGAACGCUGGCGGCGUGCCUAAUACAUGCAAGUCGAGCGAACGGACGAGAAGCUUGCUCCUCUGAUGUUAGCGGCGGACGGGUGAGUAACACGUGGAUAACCUACCUAUAAGACUGGGAUAACUUCGGGAAACCGUAGCUAAUACCGGAUAAUAUUUUGAACCGCAUGGUUCAAAAGUGAAAGACGGUUUUGCUGUCACUUAUAGAUGGAUCCGCGCUGCAUUAGCUAGUUGGUAAGGUAACGGCUUACCAAGGCAACGAUGCAUAGCCGACCUGGGAGGGGUAUGGUCCACACUGGAGCUGAAACAGGGUCCAAAUCCGUAGGGGAGGCAGAAUAGGGGAAUCUUCCGCAUGGGGCGAAAGCCUGACGGGGCAACGCCGCGUGGGUGAGGAAGGUUUCCGAUGCGUAAAACUCUGUUAUUGGGGAAGAACAAUUUGGUAAGAAACUGUGAACAUCUGAACGGAACCUAAUCAAAAAGCACGGGCUAACUACGU
rnacentral:rRNA from 1 species